UACGUAGGGACCAAGCGUUGUUCGGAUUUACUGGGCGUAAAGGGCGCGUAGGCGGCGUGUUAAGUCAGCUGUGAAAUCUCCGAGCUUAACUCGGAACGGUCAGCUGAUACUGAUGUGCUAGAGUGCAGAAGGGGCAAUCGGAAUUCUUGGUGUAGCGGUGAAAUGCGUAGAUAUCAAGAGGAACACCUGAGGUGAAGACGGGUUGCUGGGCUGACACUGACGCUGAGGCGCGAAGGCGUGGGGAGCGAACGGG
rnacentral:rRNA from 1 species